UACGUAGGGUGCGAGCGUUGCCCGGAUUUAUUGGGCGUAAAGGGCGCGUAGGCGGUGCCGUACGUCCGUUGUGAAAUCGCUCGGCUCAACUGGGCGGGGGUCAGCGGAUACGGUGGCACUUGAGCAAGCUAGGGGGCAAUGGAAUUCCCGGUGUAGUGGUGAAAUGCGUAGAUAUCGGGAGGAACACCAGUGGCGAAGGCGGCUUCCUGGCCUGUUCUUGACACUGAGGCGCGAAAGCUAGGGGGAGCAAACAGG
rnacentral:rRNA from 1 species